rnacentral:lncRNA from 1 species
UAAAAUAGUAAUUUAUUGGGAAGUAGAUUAAAAGAUUAAAAAAAUAUAAAGAUGUAAUAUUUGGUAAAAAAAAUAGAAAAAGAACAAUGGUAAAACUAUCACAAAAAAACCUUAUGUCUCCGUAUUAAUAUUUGAAUAUAAAUGAUAAUGUAGAAAUUAUGGAAAAAUAGGUUACCUUAUUAAUAUAUUAGUAAAAACACAGGCCUUGUAAAAACCACCAAAAAAUUAGGUCUCUGUAUUAAAUUUAUGAGUAUAAAUAUAUCCUUUUAAAAUUAUUAAAAAUAGGUAACCUUGUUAAUAUGUUAGUGAAAAUAUAGGUCUCACAAAAAUCAUCAAAAUAAUUAGGUCACCGUAUUAAAUAUGAGUAUAACCCGUAAAAUUGUAAAACAAAAUAGGCAACUUAAUUAAUAUAUAAAUAAAAGUAUAAGCCGCGUAUAAAUCACAAAAAAAAAGUUUCCAUAUUAAUAUAUGAGUAUUUUAUAGGUUCCGUAUAUGUUAUAAAAGAACGGACAAACGUAUUAAUCGUAUUAAUAUGAGUAAAAAAACAUAGGUCCCGCAUAAACCACAUAGAAGAUCAAUUUAUCGUAUAUUAAUAUAUGAGUAUAAAUUUAAGUUCACAAAAAAU